rnacentral:rRNA from 1 species
GACGAACGUUGGAGGGGGGGGGAACAAAGGCAAGUCGAACGGAAAGGCCCUGCUUUUGUGGGGUGCUCGAGUGGCGAACGGGUGAGUAACACGUGAGUAACCUGCCCUUGACUUUGGGAUAACUUCAGGAAACUGGGGCUAAUACCGGAUAGGAGCUCCUGCUGCAUGGUGGGGGUUGGAAAGUUUCGGCGGUUGGGGAUGGACUCCGGCUUAUCAGCUUGUUGGUGGGGUAGUGGCUUACCAAGGCUUUGACGGGGAGCCGGCCUGAGAGGGUGACCGGCCACAUUGGGACUGAGAUACGGCCCAGACUCCUACGGGAGGCAGCAGUGGGGAAUAUUGCACAAUGGGCGGAAGCCUGAUGCAGCAACGCCGCGUGCGGGAUGCCGGCCUUCGGGUUGUAAACCGCUUUCGCCUGUGACGAAGCGUGAGUGACGGUAAUGGGUAAAGAAGCACCGGCUACCUACGUG